rnacentral:rRNA from 1 species
AUGCUUAAUGACAGAAUAAACACAUGUGAGUUGCUUACUAGAAAAUCCUUUCAUUUGGACUCCACUUCUUGUGUUUUAUGUAAUGAUGAAGACAUGGAGGACAGAACCCACCUACUAUUCUCAUGCACUUUUAGUCAAAACUUCUGGUGGAAUAUAGGCAUUGAAUGGAACACUGAUCUACACAUUCAUGAUAUGAUUUCUGAUGGCAAGCUAAGAUAUAACAUACCAUUCUUCAUGGAGAUUGUGACUAUUGGAUGCUGGAGUUUAUGGAAUCAGAGAAAUGGACUGAUAUUUGAAAAUAUACCAUGCUCCAUUGCAUCAUGCAAGUUUAACUUCAUCAACACUUUCAAGCUUACCAUGUUGAGAGCCAAGCCUAGCCUUAAGGACGGCAUGUCAUCCUGGAUAGACAAAAUUUGA